UGGAUCGAUGAUGACUUCUGGUGGCGUAUGAGUCAUAUAUGAUGAAUACGUGUCAAACUCUGAGGUCCAA
rnacentral:snoRNA from 1 species